rnacentral:tRNA from 1 species
GGGUCGGUCGUAUAGUGGUCAAUUAUGGGCGCCUUUUAAGCGCUGCGACGAGAGUUCGAAUCUCUCCCGACCUACCA